AGUGAACGCUGGCGGUAGGCCUAACACAUGCAAGUCGAACGGCAGCACAGUAAGAGCUUGCUCUUACGGGUGGCGAGUGGCGGACGGGUGAGGAAUACAUCGGAAUCUACUUUUUCGUGGGGGAUAACGUAGGGAAACUUACGCUAAUACCGCAUACGACCUACGGGUGAAAGCAGGGGAUCUUCGGACCUUGCGCGAUUGAAUGAGCCGAUGUCGGAUUAGCUAGUUGGCGGGGUAAAGGCCCACCAAGGCGACGAUCUGUAGCUGGUCUGAGAGGAUGAUCAGCCACACUGGAACUGAGACACGGUCCAGACUCCUACGGGAGGCAGCAGUGGGGAAUAUUGGACAAUGGGCGCAAGCCUGAUCCAGCCAUACCGCGUGGGUGAAGAAGGCCUUCGGGUUGUAAAGCCCUUUUGUUGGGAAAGAAAGGCAGCAGGUUAAUACCCCGCUGUUCUGACGGUACCCAAAGAAUAAGCACCGGCUAACUUCGUG
rnacentral:rRNA from 1 species